AUGCUCGCUUCGGCAGCACAUAUACUAAAAUUGGAAUGAUACAAAGAUUAGCAUGGCCACUGCUCAAAGAUGACAUGCAAAUGAGUGAAGCGUUCCAUAUUUUA